UCCCAUGACCUCCAAUCUGUGCCAAGGACC
rnacentral:piRNA from 1 species